rnacentral:rRNA from 1 species
GACGAACGCUGGCGGCGUGCUUAACACAUGCAAGUCGAGCGGUAAGGCCCUUUCGGGGGUACACGAGCGGCGAACGGGUGAGUAACACGUGGGUGACCUGCCCUCAGCUCUGGGAGUAAGCCUGGGAAACCGGGUCUAAUACUGGAUAUGACUCCAUGACGCAUGUUGUGGGGUGGAAAGCCUUGUGCGGCUGAGGAUGGGCCCGCGGCCUAUCAGGCUUGCUGGUGGGGUGAUGGCCUACCAAGGCGACGACGGGUAGCCGGCCUGAGAGGGCGACCGGCCACACUGGGACUGAGACACGGCCCAGGACUCCUACGGGAGGGCAGCAGUGGGGAAUCUUGCGCAAUGGGCGAAAGCCUGACGCAGCG